UACGUAGGCAGCGGGCGUUGUUCGGAAUUACUGGGCGUAAAGAGUGUGUAGGCGGUGCUCCCAGUCUGUUGUGAAAUCUCCCGGCUUAACUGGGAGGGUGCAGCGGAAACUAGAGUGCUAGAGGGUGGGAGAGGUAAGCGGAAUUCCUGGUGUAGCGGUGAAAUGCGUAGAUAUCAGGAGGAACACCAGCGGCGAAGGCGGCGCUCUGGGCCGGUACUGACACUGAGGAGCGAAAGCGUGGGUAGCAAACAGG
rnacentral:rRNA from 1 species